rnacentral:rRNA from 1 species
UUCCGGUUGAUCCCGCCGGACCUGACUGCUAUCGGAUUGAUACUAAGCCAUGCGAGUCAUUGUAGUAAUACAAGGCAGACGGCUCAGUAACGCGUAGUCAACCUAACCUAUGGACGGGAAUAACCUCGGGAAACUGAGUAUAAUGCCCGAUAGAACAUUAUGCCUGGAAUGGUUUAUGUUCCAAAUGAUUUAUCGCCGUAGGAUGGGACUGCGGCCUAUCAGUUUGUUGGUGAGGUAAUGGCCCACCAAGACUAUUACAGGUACGGGCUCUGAGAGGAGUAGCCCGGAGAUGGGUACUGAGACACGGACCCAGGCCCUAUGGGGCGCAGCAGGCGAGAAAACUUUGCAAAUGUGCGAAAGCACGACAAGGUUAAUCCGAGUGGGUUUCUGCUAAAGGAACCUUUUGU